rnacentral:rRNA from 1 species
UACAGAGGGGGCAAGCGUUAUUCGGAAUUAUUGGGCGUAAAGGGCGCGUAGGCGGCUUGGCAAGUGGAUGGUGAAAUCCCUCGGCUUAACCGAGGAACUGCCCUCCAAACUGCUUGGCUUGAGACCGGGAGAGGUGAGUGGAAUUCCCAGUGUAGCGGUGAAAUGCGUAGAUAUUGGGAGGAACACCAGUGGCGAAGGCGGCUCACUGGACCGGUACUGACGCUGAUGCGCGAAAGCGUGGGGAGCAAACGGG